rnacentral:rRNA from 1 species
UACGUAGGGCGCAAGCGUUGUCCGGAAUUAUUGGGCGUAAAGAGCUCGUAGGCGGCCUGUUGCGUCCGCUGUGAAAUCCCGGGGCUUAACCCCGGGCUUGCAGUGGAUACGGGCAGGCUGGAGGCAGGCAGGGGAGAACGGAAUUCCCGGUGUAGCGGUGAAAUGCGCAGAUAUCGGGAGGAACACCGGCGGCGAAGGCGGUUCUCUGGGCCUGUACUGACGCUGAGGAGCGAAAGCGUGGGGAGCGAACAGG